UACAGAGGUCCCAAGCGUUGUUCGGAUUCACUGGGCGUAAAGGGUGCGCAGGUGGGUUUGCAAGUUCGAUGUGAAAGCCCCGGGCUUAACCCGGGAAUGGCAUUGGAUACUGCAGAUCUGGAGGAUCGGAGGGGGGACUGGAAUUCUUGGUGUAGCAGUGAGAUGCGUAGAUAUCAAGAGGAACACCAGUGGCGAAGGCGAGUCCCUGGACGAUACCUGACACUGAGGCACGAAAGCUAGGGGAGCAAACAGG
rnacentral:rRNA from 1 species